UGAGUAACCUGCCCUUAACUCUGGGAUAAGCCUGGGAAACUGGGUCUAAUACCGGAUAUGACUCCUCAUCGCAUGGUGGGGGGUGUAAAGCUUUUUUGUGGUUUUGGAUGGACUCGCGGCCUAUCAGCUUGUUGGUGAGGUAAUGGCUCACCAAGGCGACGACGGGUAGCCGGCCUGAGAGGGUGACCGGCCACACUGGGACUGAGACACGGCCCAGACUCCUACGGGAGGCAG
rnacentral:rRNA from 1 species